rnacentral:rRNA from 1 species
UUCCGGUUGAUCCUGCCGGACCUGACUGCUAUCGGAUUGAUACUAAGCCAUGCGAGUCAUUGUAGCAAUACAAGGCAGACGGCUCAGUAACGCGUAGUCAACCUAACCUAUGGACGGGAAUAACCUCGGGAAACUGAGAAUAAUGCCCGAUAGAACACUAUACCUGGAAUGGUUUGUGUUCCAAAUGAUUUAUCGCCGUAGGAUGGGACUGCGGCCUAUCAGUUUGUUGGUGAGGUAAUGGCCCACCAAGACUAUUACAGGUACGGGCUCUGAGAGGAGUAACUCGGAGAUGGGUACUGAGACACGGACCCAGGCCCUAUGGGGCGCAGCAGGCGAGAAAACUUUGCAAUGUGCGAAAGCACGACAAGGUUAAUCCGAGUGAUUUGUGCUAAACGAAUCUUUUGUUAGUCCUAGAAACACUAACGAAUAAGGGGUGGGCAAGUUCUGGUGUCAGCCGCCGCGGUAAAACCAGCACCUCAAGUGGUCAGGAUGAUUAUUGGGCCUAAAGCAUCCGUAGCCGGCUCUGUAAGUUUUCGGUUAAAUCUGUACGCUCAACGUACAGGCUGCCGGGAAUACUGCAGAGCUAGGGAGUGGGAGAGGUAGACGGUACUCGGUAGGAAGGGGUAAAAUCCUUUGAUCUAUUGAUGACCACCUGUGGCGAAGGCGGUCUACCAGAACACGUCCGACGGUGAGGGAUGAAAGCUGGGGGAGCAAACCGGAUUAGAUACCCGGGUAGUCCCAGCUGUAAACUAUGCAAACUCAGUGAUGCAUUGACUUGUGGUCAAUGCAGUGCUGCAGGGAAGCCGUUAAGUUUGCCGCCUGGGAAGUACGUACGCAAGUAUGAAACUUAAAGGAAUUGGCGGGGGAGCACCACAAGGGGUGAAGCCUGCGGUUCAAUUGGAGUCAACGCCGGGA